AUAUAUAUAUAUAUAUAUAUAUAUAUAUAUAUAUAUAUAUAUAUAUAUAUAUAUAUAUAUAUAUAUAUAUAUUACAUGUUUUUUUCCAGGAGUAUUCAUGAUAGCUAGAUAUUUGGGUCGUUUACUUCAAAAUUCAAAUUUAAGGUGCACUAUAUUUUCCUCUCCAUCUUUUAAUUUAAAAUUAAUUUGAGUUAUAUAUAAUCUAUGUAUUUUAUAUGCAAAUAAAAAAAUGUAUUUUCAGUAAACUUUUCAACUGUGAUCUGUGAAAAGUCUCAAUUUGAUGGUGAGAUACAUGAAGUAAAUAGUACCCAUGCUCGAUUGAUUAACGUUUGUAGUACAAUUUAUCUUCCGACUGCCAUGGCAUACUAUACCUUCAUUGAUAAUUAUGGUUUUCACCAUAAAUAUGUAUUUUCAAGAACUCCAAUAAGUUCAAGGACAACUGUGGCUGAGAGAUGAAGAUUCUUUAUCUUAGAGGUUGUCGUUUUUAUAAUGCAUUUUGCAACAAUUGUACAAGAUAUCAAGGUUGUCAUGAUUAUGUUGAUAUGUUGUUUAUAUUUCUCAUAAAUUACAUUAUUUGUGUGGUGGCAGUCUGGCAGAAUAAGAUAACAUAAGAAAUGGAACAUAACUUCACCUAUGCAAACAAUUGAACAAUAACCGACAUUGAACGUUAGUGAGUAUUUUCUUUUUAGUUAAAAUUAUAAUUUUAAGUUAAAAAUUAGCAGCAAUAAAAAUACUUGUGGAAAUAUUUUAUUUAUUUAUUAUUUAGACUUAUAGAAAUUGGUUAUUAAUAUUAUAGAAGUCAUGUGGUUAUUAAUAUUAUAGAAGCAAAGGAGUAUGACACCGUUGGAAUUUUCUUAUUUGUCACAAUUUGAAGACAUUUUUGCCAUUAUCAUUAGUAGUACAACCAAAGUCAAACUAGCAAAAUAAUGAGGGAUUGUAUAAAAAAAAAUACUACUCUUUUAUAUCAUUUAUAUUUUCUCUUCUGCAGUAUUCUUUCCAUAUAUUUACUGUUUAUAGUUCAUACAUUAUACAUUAUAGAGUUAAGUAAUAAACCAAAUACCUGUUGGAACAUGUUUCUUUGCCUAACCCGUUCUUAGGAAUUAUAGAGUGACUAGCAAUGUAUUGUUUUAUGAUUUUUUUAAUUUCCAUAAGUUAGUACUUUUAUAUAAGUAAAUUGAAGUUUUCAUUGAGGACUGCAUAUUUUCCUAACCUGUUCCUUUCCCUGCUACAGAUCAGUAUUACCUUUUGACUUUGCCCAACAUUUUGGGAAACACUUGAGUACAAUGUCACUUCAACCUUAAAUGCUAUGGCGAGUUCCGCACGGUAAGCCCCUGCAUUUCUUGCUUUCUCCAACAGUGCUGCCAUACAUUUUGUAAUAUUAUUUGUACCUUUUCCAUGAAACGUCAGAAUUUUACAUGGAUUAAUGUUAUUUUUCUGAUGCACAGCCGAGUAGCAGUGUUAUUUAAUAGAGCAUACUGCUACUUUUAAUUUGCUAGCAGUCUCUUUCCACGAUUUUACUUUGGUCUGAAGUGACUGGAUAACUUUGAAUUACUAUGCAUUUUCUAAACAUGAGUUGUAUCGGGACUGUCAACUAUAUCUGUCAAUUUAUAUAGAAUCGUUGAAGAAGCUACUUAGACUUUUGGCCUAAGAGAUAUAAUUUGCACCGAACGUCAAAACUAUGGAAUUCAAGUAUUUUCUAUUA